GACAGAGGUGCCGAGCGUUAGGCGGAAUCACUGGGCUUAAAGCGUGUGUAGGCGGACCGUUAAGUACCUUGUGAAAUCCCACGGCUCAACCGUGGAACGGCUGGGUAUACUGGCGGUCUUGAGCGCCUAGGGGCAGACGGAACAAGUGGUGGAGCGGUGAAAUGCGUAGAUAUCACUUGGAACGCCGACGGUGAAAACAGUCUGCUGGGGGCCUGCUGACGCUGAGACACGAAAGCCAGGGGAGCGAACGGG
rnacentral:rRNA from 1 species